rnacentral:rRNA from 1 species
AACGAACGCUGGCGGCAGGCUUAACACAUGCAAGUCGAACGAGCUCUUCGGAGCUAGUGGCAGACGGGUGAGUAACGCGUGGGAACCUACCUUUAGGUACGGAACAACAGUUGGAAACGACUGCUAAUACCGUAUGUGCCCUAUGGGGGAAAGAUUUAUCGCCUAAGGAUGGCCCGCGUUGGAUUAGCUAGUUGGUGGGGUAAAGGCCUACCAAGGCGACGAUCCAUAGCUGGUCUGAGAGGAUGAUCAGCCACACUGGGACUGAGACACGGCCCAGACUCCUACGGGAGGCAGCAGUGGGGAAUAUUGGACAAUGGGGGCAACCCUGAUCCAGCCAUGCCGCGUGAGUGAUGAAGGCCCUAGGGUUGUAAAGCUCUUUCAGCGAGGAGGAUAAUGACGUUACUCGCAGAAGAAGCCCCGGCUAACUUCGUGCCAGCAGCCGCCGUAAAAC